CCAGACUCCUACGGGAGGCAGCAGUGAGGAAUAUUGGUCAAUGGCCGAAGGGCUGAACCAGCCAAGCCGCGUGAAGGAAUAAGGCCCUACGGGUCGUAAACUUCUUUAGUCAGGGAACAAAGGGUGCCACGUGUGGCGCUGUGAGUGUACCUGAAGAAUAAGCAUCGGCUAACUCCGUGCCAGCAGCCGCGGUAAUACGGAGGAUGCGAGCGUUAUCCGGAUUUAUUGGGUUUAAAGGGUGCGUAGGCGGUCCGUUAAGUCAGGGGUAAAUUGGCGGGGCUAAACCCCGUCGAGCCGUUGAAACUGGCAGACUUGAGUUGGCGAGAAGUAUGCGGAAUGCGUGGUGUAGCGGUGAAAUGCAUAGAUAUCACGCAGAACUCCGAUUGCGAAGGCAGCAUACCGGCGCCCAACUGACGCUGAAGCACGAAAGCGUGGGUAUCGAACAGGAUUAGAUACCCCGGUAU
rnacentral:rRNA from 1 species